ensembl:miRNA Mir3107 microRNA 3107
CCCACCCUGACGCAUCCUGUACUGAGCUGCCCCGAGCUGAGCACAGUGAAGGACCUCGGGGCAGCUCAGUACAGGACCCCUCAGGGAGGG